rnacentral:tRNA from 1 species
AUCAAAUGGCUGAAUUAAAGCGGUAACUUCUUAAGUUAUUUAUAGAUUAAAUCUUUUGAUGA